UAUUAGAAACCCUGGUAGUCCACGCUGUAAACGAUGUCGACUUGGAGGUUGUUCCCUUGAGGAGUGGCUUCCGGAGCUAACGCGUUAAGUCGACCGCCUGGGGAGUACGGCCGCAAGGUUAAAACUCAAAUGAAUUGACGGGGGCCCGCACAAGCGGUGGAGCAUGUGGUUUAAUUCGAUGCAACGCGAAGAACCUUACCUACUCUUGACAUCCACGGAACUUAGCAGAGAUGCUUUGGUGCCUUCGGGAACCGUGAGACAGGUGCUGCAUGGCUGUCGUCAGCUCGUGUCGA
rnacentral:rRNA from 1 species